rnacentral:piRNA from 1 species
UCUACCAGCAAUGUAUUUUCA